rfam:Schistosoma haematobium scaffold367_11, whole genome shotgun sequence.
ACCCAGCUGACGAGUUCCAAAUAAGACGAAACGCGCGUCCUGGAU